UAAUACGGAGGGUGCAAGCGUUGUCCGGAUUUAUUGGGUUUAAAGGGUGCGUAGGCGGCCUAUUAAGUCAGUGGUGAAAGGUAUCAGCUUAACUGAUGACGUGCCAUUGAAACUAACAGGCUUGAGUACAGACGAGGUAGGCGGAAUUUAUGGUGUAGCGGUGAAAUGCAUAGAUACCAUAAAGAACACCAAUUGCGAAGGCAGCUUACUAGACUGUAACUGACGCUGAGGCACGAAAGCGUGGGGAGCGAACAGGAUUAGAUACCCUGGUAGUCCACGCCGUAAACGAUGAUUACUGGAUGUGUGCGAUACACAGUACGCGUCUGAGCGAAAGCGUUAAGUAAUCCACCUGGGGAGUACGAUCGCAAGAUUG
rnacentral:rRNA from 1 species